GACGAACGCUGGCGGCGUGCUUAACACAUGCAAGUCGAACGGUGAAGCUCCAGCUUGCUGGAGCGGAUCAGUGGCGAACGGGUGAGUAACACGUGAGCAACCUGCCCCUGACUCUGGAAUAAGCGCUGGAAACGGCGUCUAAUACUGGAUACGAGAAGGGUCCGCAUGGGCACUUUCUGGAAAGUUUUUCGGUUGGGGAUGGGCUCGCGGCCUAUCAGCUUGUUGGUGAGGUAAUGGCUCACCAAGGCGACGACGGGUAGCCGGCCUGAGAGGGCGACCGGCCACACUGGGACUGAGACACGGCCCAGACUCCUACGGGAGGCAGCAGUGGGGAAUAUUGCACAAUGGGCGAAAGCCUGAUGCAGCGACGCCGCGUGAGGGAUGACGGCCUUCGGGUUGUAAACCUCUUUCAGCAGGGAAGAAGCGAAAGUGACGGUACCUGCAGAAGAAGCACCGGCUAACUACGUG
rnacentral:rRNA from 1 species